rnacentral:rRNA from 1 species
AUUGAACGCUGGCGGCAGGCCUAACACAUGCAAGUCGAGCGAGCGGCGGACGGGUGAGUAAUGUCUGGGAAACUGCCUGAUGGAGGGGGAUAACUCUUGGAAACGGUAUCUAAUAUACCAUAUCAUCAGAUGUGCCCAGAUGGGAUUAGCGAGUAGGUGGGGUAACGGCUCACCUAGGCGACGAUCCCUAGCUGGUCUGAGAGGAUGACCAGCCACACUGGAACUGAGACACGGUCCAGACUCCUACGGGAGGCAGCAGUGGGGAAUAUUGCACAAUGGGCGCAAGCCUGAUGCAGCCAUGCCGCGUGUGUGAAGAAGGCCUUCGGGUUGUAAAGCACUUUCAGCGGGGAGGCGUUACCCGCAGAAGAAGCACCGGCUAACUCCGUGCCAGCCGCCGCGGUAAUUC